ACCACAAUGUUGAUGAACUGCAUGCAGGCCACCUGGAAACAUAUUUCACUGCCCAUUAUUAACCUGAUGUCACACCAGAGAGACAGAUGCAGCAGUGGUAGUGUUUGUAUUAGUCGUAUCUGCAGAAGUACCUUGGGUUCCUGUUGUUGAGGCUGAGAGCAAUUUCAUUGACGGCGUGAGGAUGAGACAUCACCAUGUUGAAACCGUACUGAUGAAGAUGAGGACACAGGUGAAGACCUGAACAAACUGGAUCAGCAUUACCAGAGUCCUGGAUCACCCAGUAAAUCUCUGAUGAGUUAAGCGUACAGAGAAAGGGCCCCAAGUGAAGUCAGGUUUGUUCCUGGCUUCUGUGCCCAUCACAUGAGGAUAAAUCACAGGCUGGGGCCCUCAGGCCAUCUGACCUUCAUCAAACACAGGCCAGCUACAGAUGGGAGAGCAAAGUUUUACAUGUUCAGCAUAUUUUUGAGUUGGAGACAAACAUCAGGUCUUAAACUUCGGAUCCAGACAGAUUCAGACCAAGAUCCGUGUCUCCUGAGCCAGACUACAUCACAGUUUACAGAAUGAACCUGCAGAACUACAGACCUCUAGAACCAAAGACCACAAGAGAAGUGACCUGGAGAACCAGAAAUCCAAAGAGGGGAAACCUACAGAUCCAGAGCCCUGCAGAACCACAGACCCUCAUAACCAGAACCCUGCAGAACCACAGGCAUGUAAAACCAGUAGACCUGGAGACCAGGAUCUCACGGCCUGGUGAUCAGGUUCUGCAGAGCCCACUAACCCACGUCAGACCUGCAGAGCGUGACUGCAUAUUUUCAGCAUGCCUGUGUGUGUGUCUGUGCGAGUAUCCUACCAGUGCGAUGGAGAACCUCUCUUCCAGCUCGGCCGGGUCUGGCAUCGGGAGUCGAACCGGGGCGGCUCUGGA